rnacentral:lncRNA from 1 species
GACCGUAGCCUCCCGAGCAGGGUGGGCUCCACGCGAACGGCGGGCGCUGGCAGAAAGCGACCCACGCAGAGUUCCGCGCCAGCCGAGGGGCCCGGCUGCCGCCCAUGCGCGGUCCUGGAGGUGCCGGGAGGGGGUCGCGGACCCUGAGGCAGGAUCCACGUGGUCCCUGCGGGCCCAGUGAGUGACAUCACCGCGACGCUGCGCAUGGAGCAAGCUCUACACCCGGGAGAUGGCCACGGUGCGCAUGCAGCAAGGUCUACUCCCGCGAGGUGACCACGGGACAGACGAUCCUCUGAGGUUUCCAGGAAGACCCCCGCCCUAAUCCUCUGAAGGUCGGAGGUCACAGGUCAAAGCCGAGAACAGAAGCUGGGGUGGGGCACACAGAGGUGGAAAGAGGGGCCUGAGCAUCGGGCGGCCACCAGCAGGGUCCCCUCCUGGCCACAAGGACGCUCCCGUUCCAGUCCCCGGAAGAGGGUGGCUGCAGCCACCCCGGGGAUGACCAGCAGCUCGGCCUCCCCCGCUGCUCCCCACCAGCGCCCGGGCUUGGGUGUUUGGUGCUUCCAACUUUUCAAGAGAAGCUUGAAAUCUGUAAUUCUUAUGUGAAAUCCUGCCUUUCUUAACUAAUUAAAGACUUAAAAUUAGCUAGUUAAAAUUAAUUAAAAUUGAUUAAAUUUGUACUAAU